rnacentral:pre_miRNA from 1 species
UCAUAUGGCUAAGCAAAGAAAGUGGUUUUUUGAGAUGAAAACUAUUCCUGGUGAAGAUGCUAUGAA